UACGAAGGGGGCGAGCGUUGUUCGGAAUUACUGGGCGUAAAGGGCGCGCAGGCGGCUCUGAAAGUCAGAUGUGAAAGCCCCGGGCUUAACCUGGGAACUGCAUUUGAUACUCUAGAGCUUGAGUACGGGAGAGGAGAGUGGAAUUCCCAGUGUAGAGGUGAAAUUCGUAGAUAUUGGGAAGAACACCGGUGGUGAAGGCGGCUCUCUGGACCGUAACUGACGCUGAGGCGCGAAAGCGUGGGGAGCAAACAGG
rnacentral:rRNA from 1 species